rnacentral:rRNA from 1 species
GACGAACGCUGGCGGCGUGCUUGACACAUGCAAGUCGAACGGAAAGGCCUGCUUUCCCUUGUGGAUUGCGGGUACUCGAGUGGCGAACGGGUGAGUAACACGUGAGUGAUCUGCCCCCAACUUGGGUAUAAGCCUGGGAAACUGGGUCUAAUUCCCGAUAGGACUGCAGGGUGGUGCCUGUGGUGGAAAACGAUUUUCUAGUGGUUGGGGAUGAGCUCGCGGCCUAUCAGCUUGUUGGUGGGGUAAUGGCCUACCAAGGCGGCGACGGGUAGCCGGCCUGAGAGGGUGGACGGCCACAUUGGGACUGAGAUACGGCCCAGACUCCUACGGGAGGCAGCAGUGGGGAAUAUGGCACAAUGGGCGGAAGCCUGAUGCAGCGACGCCGCGUGGGGGAUGACGGCCUUCGGGUGGUAAACUCCUUUCGACCGCGAGGAAGCCACCUGGUUGGAAGGGUGGUGACGGUAGUGGUAGAAGAAGCACCGGCUAACUACGUG